ACCUGCGAAAUAAAUGGCGACUCGACUUUCUCUACCAUGGCUGGCUUGAUUGAAGAUCUCCCUCAGCAAGGACCGCAGACUCGCUCGUUUUCUUCCCCUCUAUAUUUAGGGCAUCCAAAAUAAUGGGUGACGUGAGGGUUAUGUGAGGAAAAUUUGGUGCGUUGGCUAGAACUCAACUGAGAAUUGAAAUCAAGAGUAAUUUUGCCAUUUUAAAAAAGUAAGACAUCACGUGAGGAUCAUGUGACAGCAUUUUAUUAAUGG
rnacentral:lncRNA from 1 species